GGGGCUGAUUCUGGAUUCGACGGGAUUUGCGAAGCCCUAGGAGCAUGCCGAGGGGCGGUUGGCCUCGUAAAAAGCCGCAAAAAAAAUAGUCGCAAACGACGAAAACUACGCUUUAGCAGCUUAAUACCCUGCUUAGAGCCCUCUCUCCCUAGCCUCCGCUCUUAGGACGGGGAUCAAGAGAGGUCAAACCCAAAAGAGAUCGCGUGGACGUCCUGCCUGGGGCUGAAGCGUUAAACUCAAUCAGGCUAGUCUGUCAGUAGCGUGUCCAUCCGCAGCUGGCCGGCGAAUGUAAAGAUUGGACUAAGCAUGUAGUGCCGACGGUGUAGUAAUUUCGGACGGGGGUUCAAAUCCCCCCAGCUCCACCA
rnacentral:tmRNA from 1 species